GGAUUGUGGCUCAGUGGUAGAGUGUUUGCCUAGCAAGUGUGAGGCCCUGGGUUCAUUUCCCAGCACCG
rnacentral:tRNA from 1 species